GCAACCGGCUGUCCUCCCUCUGCCGACGCCGACUCCUCCACUGUGCAGUGCCUAGCCGACUCCUUCCUUUGUCCUAGGUUCCCUCUUGUUGCUGGAUCCGAACCCUAACUCCUCUGGGUUGGGUUGUGGUCAGCCUACCCGACUGCAGCUUCUCCGGAUCUUGGCAGUAAGUUCUAUAGGAUUUGAGCAGUGUUGAGGCAUCAGGGAAUAUGGGUAAGACAUUGUUGGAGAAAGCCC